rnacentral:rRNA from 1 species
AUACGUAGGUGCCAAGCGUUAUCCGGAUUUACUGGGCGUAAAGGGCGUGUAGGCGGUCUUGCAAGUCAGAAGUGAAAUUCCUGAGCUCAACUCGGGCGCUGCUUCUGAAACUGCAGGACUUGAGUGCUGGAGGGGAUAGCGGAAUUCCUAGUGGAGCGGUAAAAUGCGCAGAUAUUAGGAAGAACACCGGUGGCGAAGGCGGCUAUCUGGACAGUAACUGACGCUGAGGCUCGAAAGCGUGGGGAGCAAACAGGAUUAGAUGCCCUGGUAGUCCACGCCGUAAACGAUGAAUACUAGGUGUAGGGGGUAUCGACUCCCUCUGUGCCGCAGUUAACACAAUAAGUAUUCCGCCUGGGGAGUACGGCCGCAAGGUUGAAACUCAAAUGAAUUGACGGGG